GACGAACGCUGGCGGCGUGCCUAAUACAUGCAAGUCGCACGCAGUGGGGAAGGGUGAGUAACACGUGGGUAACCUCCCAUCAGAGGGGAUAACACUUGGAAACAGGUGCUAAACCGAUACUGAUGGAUGGACACGCGGUGCAUUAGCUAGGUGGUGAGGUAACGGCUCACCAAGGCCACGAUGCAUAGCCAACCAGUGAGGGUGAUCGGCUACACAGUGACUGAGACAGUGCCCAGACGCAUACGGGAGGCAGCAGUAGGGAAUCUUCUGCAAUGUACGAAAGUCUGACCGAGCAACGCCGCGUGAGUGAAGAAGGUUUUCGGAUCGUAAAACUCUGUUGUUAGAGAAGCGGUAUCUAACCAGAAAGCCACGGCUAACUACGUGCCAGCAGCCGCGGUAAUAC
rnacentral:rRNA from 1 species